CAGUAGCCGCGGGAAUACGGAGGGUGCAAGCGUUAAUCGGAAUUACUGGGCGUAAAGCGCACGCAGGCGGUCUGACAAGUCAGAUGUGAAAUCCCCGGGCUUAACCUGGGAACUGCAUUUGAAACUGUCAGGCUGGAGUCUUGUAGAGGGGGGUAGAAUUCCAGGUGUAGCGGUGAAAUGCGUAGAGAUCUGGAGGAAUACCGGUGGCGAAGGCGGCCCCCUGGACAAAGACUGACGCUCAGGUGCGAAAGCGUGGGGAGCAAACAGGAUUAGAUACCCGCGUAGUCCCUGUCUCUUAUAC
rnacentral:rRNA from 1 species